UACGAAGGGGGCUAGCGUUGCUCGGAAUCACUGGGCGUAAAGCGCACGUAGGCGGACUCUUAAGUCGGUGGUGAAAUCCCGGAGCUCAACUUCGGAAUUGCCUUUGAUACUGUCAAUCUCGAGUCCGGGAGAGGUGAGUGGAAUUCCUAGUGUAGAGGUGAAAUUCGUAGAUAUUAGGAAGAACACCAGUGGCGAAGGCGGCUCACUGGCCCGGUACUGACGCUCAUGUGCGAAAGCGUGGGGAGCAAACAGG
rnacentral:rRNA from 1 species